rnacentral:RNase_P_RNA from 1 species
GGGAGAGAGAGUCCGGCCGCCGCGAUGGCCCCGCCGGCAACGGCGCGGCCACCUAUCGUUGGCCACCCCUCCGGGUUGCCCAACGCACCUAACGUGGCCCAUCUCUUCGAGAUGCGCCACGCUCGCGAGGAAAGUCCCCCCACCUGUUCGGGCAGGUGACCGGACGCAAGUCCGGAGCGGGAGACCGCUGGCUCUGGAACAGAAACGACACGUCUCGGCCCGACCGAUGAUGCGUGCGAACCCGACCGAGAGGAAGGGGAGUUGACCCGCUGAGGGAAGCGUGGUCGCGAAGCGACCACGGUACGCGAGGCGGCGUUCGCCGCCGAGCCGUGCGGUCGACAGCACGCGGUUCGAAACCGCAAGUCACGCCCGUCGUGACCGACCGCACAGAGACGGCCGAGGACCGAUGGAACGGCGAACCCUCACCGGUGCAAGUCCGCGCCGUGGUAGCCCGAACGCCCCGCGAUUUCCGCGGACGGCGCGGACGCUCAGCCGAAUGCCGGAUCGAACAGAAGGGGGCUUACUCCUCUCACCC